rnacentral:guide_RNA from 1 species
AUCUAAUAACGGAAGCUUAUAUGUAGUAGUGAAGAUGGUAU